UGCCUUUAUGUGUUGCCCUCUCAUUUAUGUCAGUAGUGGUGAGGGUGUCAAAUAAGGCAUACAGAAUCCUUGUGGCUGCCAUUUAAAAAUGAGUUUGAUUCCUGACUCCUUUACAAGCGCUGCCACAAGCACACAA